UACGAGGGGGCAAGCGUUGUUCGGAAUUAUUGGGCGUAAAGGGCGCGUAGGCGGUUUGACAAGUCUGAUGUGAAAUCUAUGGGCUCAACCCAUAGCCUGCAUUAGAAACUGUCGGGCUUGAGUAUGGGAGAGGUGAGUGGAAUUUCCGGUGUAGCGGUGAAAUGCGUAGAUAUCGGAAGGAACACCUGUGGCGAAAGCGGCUCACUGGACCAUAACUGACGCUGAGGCGCGAAAGCUAGGGGAGCAAACAGG
rnacentral:rRNA from 1 species